GAUGAACGCUGGCGGCGUGCCUAAUACAUGCGAGUCGAGCGAACAGACGAGGAGCUUGCUCCUCUGAAGUUAGCGGCGGACGGGUGAGUAACACGUGGAUAACCUACCUAUAAGACUGGGAUAACUUCGGGAAACCGGAGCUAAUACCGGAUAAUAUAUUGAACCGCAUGGUUCAAUAGUGAAAGACGGUUUUGCUGUCACUUAUAGAUGGAUCCGCGCCGCAUUAGCUAGUUGGUAAGGUAACGGCUUACCAAGGCAACGAUGCGUAGCCGACCUGAGAGGGUGAUCGGCCACACUGGAACUGAGACACGGUCCAGACUCCUACGGGAGGCAGCAGUAGGGAAUCUUCCGCAAUGGGCGAAAGCCUGACGGAGCAACGCCGCGUGAGUGAUGAAGGUCUUCGGAUCGUAAAACUCUGUUAUUAGGGAAGAACAAAUGUGUAAGUAACUAUGCACGUCUUGACGGUACCUAAUCAGAAAGCCACGGCUAACUACGUG
rnacentral:rRNA from 1 species